UACGUAGGGUCCGAGCGUUGUCCGGAAUUACUGGGCGUAAAGAGCUCGUAGGUGGUUUGUCGCGUUGUUCGUGAAAACUCACAGCUCAACUGUGGGCGUGCGGGCGAUACGGGCAGACUUGAGUACUGCAGGGGAGACUGGAAUUCCUGGUGUAGCGGUGGAAUGCGCAGAUAUCAGGAGGAACACCGGUGGCGAAGGCGGGUCUCUGGGCAGUAACUGACGCUGGAGGAGCGGAAAGCCGUGGGGAGCAAACGGG
rnacentral:rRNA from 1 species